AAGUCGUAACAAGGUUUCCGUAGGUGAACCUGCGGAAGGAUCAUUAACAAAUCCAAAAUAUGGACUUUGGUCCAUAUUCACACACAUGUGACCAUCGUGAGUUGCUUGAUCACUCAGGCUUCUCACAAUCACUUGCUAUAAAUUUUGACAAAAUCAGGUGCCUAAUAAAAAACAACUUUUAACAAUGGAUCUCUUGGCUCUU
rnacentral:misc_RNA from 1 species